rnacentral:rRNA from 1 species
CAGCCGCCGCGGUAAUACGUAGGGUGCAAGCGUUAAUCGGAAUUACUGGGCGUAAAGCGUGCGCAGGCGGUUAUAUAAGUCAGAUGUGAAAUCCCCGGGCUCAACCUGGGAACUGCAUUUGAGACUGUAUGGCUAGAGUGUGUCAGAGGGGGGUAGAAUUCCACGUGUAGCAGUGAAAUGCGUAGAUAUGUGGAGGAAUACCGAUGGCGAAGGCAGCCCCCUGGGAUAACACUGACGCUCAUGCACGAAAGCGUGGGGAGCAAACAGGAUUAGAUACCCGCGUAGUCCCUGUCUCUUAUAC